rnacentral:tRNA from 1 species
AAAAUAUUAAGUUAUUAAAAACUAAAAAUUUUCAAAAUUUUUAAAAAGAAUUUUUUCUUAUAUUUUU